rnacentral:misc_RNA from 1 species
AACGCACCUUGCGCUCCUUGGUAUUCCGAGGAGCAUGCCUGUUUGAGUGUCAUGAAAUUCUCAACUGCCCCAGGCUUUGUGGCCUGCGGGUGAAGUUGGACUUGGAGGUAUGCUGGCGCAUGAAUGGGCUUUUGUGCCCCGUCUCGCUUGUUGGCUCCUCUUGAAUGCAUGAGCUUUCCAAUCCUUGGCAAAGUAUCGUCGAUGUGAUAAUUGUCUACGUCGCCUGAGAAAGCCGAAAAGGGGAAAUCUUUGAUCACGCUGGGGUGACCUGCGUCUGACAAAUUCGACCUCAAAUCAGGUAGGACUACCCGCUGAACUUAA